rnacentral:rRNA from 1 species
CUGGCGGCGUGCUUAACACAUGCAAGUCGAAACGCGAAAGGGACUUCGGUCCUGAGUAAAGUGGCGCACGGGUGAGUAACGCGUAGAUAACCUGUCUUCAUGUCUGGAAUAAUACGCCGAAAGGGGUACUAAUACCGGAUAUUCUUGCUUUUCAUAAGUUAUGCAAGCAAAGGUGGCCUCUGCAUAUGCUACUGCAUGAAGAGGGGUCUGCGUACCAUUAGCUAGUAGGUGGGGUAAUGGCCUACCUAGGCGACGAUGGUUAGCGGGUCUGAGAGGAUGAUCCGCCACACUGGCACUGGAACACGGGCCAGACUCCUACGGGAGGCAGCAGUGAGGAAUAUUGCGCAAUGGGGGAAACCCUGACGCAGCGACGCCGCGUGAGUGAAGGAAGGCCUUCGGGUCGUAAAGCUCUGUCAAGAGGAAAGAAGUGUACAAUGGCUAAUACCUGUUGUAUUUGACGGUACCUCUAAAGGAAGCACCGGCUAACUCCGUGCCAGCAGCCGC